UGUUGAAACUAUUUUAGGAUUUUGCUAUUCUGACUUAUUUCUUACCAGGAAUAAUAUAAAACAGGGAUGUUUCUCUUCCGAAUCAGUCUCAUUGCUUGAGAAUAUAGAUUUUUUUUUUUUUAGAGGCUGUGAUCAGACAAUUCAGUUGGUGGUAGAAGGCCAUUUGUUAGAAUAAAGCUAUUUGAUUCUGUUCAGUGUUUAGAAAUUUCUAAUAGUAAUCAUGGGAGGGAAAAGCUCUAGGAUGGAAAGCCACCGCCAUUCAUAUCCUUAUGGGAAUACGCCUGCAUGGGCUACCUCACCCAGCCCUUCCUAUGCUAGCAGCUAUACUGAACCCGAAGUGAUGAGCAAAUCAAAUAGAAGGUAGUCAAGGAUUGCCGAUAACUACAACUCACUCGAUCAGGUUGAGGUUGCUCUGAGAGAUCUUAAACUCUUAGAUUAUGCCAAGAAGAAUAAUGUAAACACCUCGGCACUGACACAGUCUGAAAUUCGUGAUAUAAUACUGGGGGCUGAGAUAACUCCACCUUUACAACAGAGGCAACAGAUUACGGAGAUUGAGAAGCAGGCGAAAGAAGCAAGCCAACCUAUAGCAGUCACAACAAGGACAACAAUUGUGCACGGCGAUGAACUCAUUGUCACCACAACAAGCCCUUAUGAGCAAGCAGCAUUUAGUUCUAAAACUAAUUGGCGUGUGGGAGCAAUCUCAGCGACGAAUCUAUAUCUUAGAGUAAAUCAUAUUUAUGUGAACACCAAGGACAUUAAGGAGACAGGCUACACAUACAUCAUGCCCAAGAACAUUUUGAAGAAGUUUAUUUGCAUAGCA